AUGCGAGCAGGAUGGGAGGUCUCCAAAGCAAAAGAGGGCUCCAGACAUCACCUUUAGCCGAAUGAGCCCCAACGCUGGGAGUGUCUGUCUGACCCUCUUGCUGAGGAAAAGGCGACAGCCAAUCGCUACAGUCCCUUUAGGCUUUUCUCUCCUGCCAGUCCUCACUGUCCCUCAGAGGGUGUUCCUGGACGCUUCAGUCGGGAGUACGGUUUGCUCCUUGCCAAUCCCGCGGCCCAAGGGGAGCGAGGCUCUGUGUGGCCGGAGCUGAGGGCUGACACGGUGUCCCUGGCCAGGUGCCCCCGCGGUAUGCGAAAGGUCCUAGCCUGGGACAGCAGCUACUGCAUUUCUUUGGUUUGUGCCGGUCCUUAUGGGGCUCGCUUCUGACCCAGAACAUGAGUUCAGGUUCUCAUUCAGCCCAGGGCCUUGCACACGAGCAAUGUUCAAAUGCCAUUAGAACACACAUUCUCAACAAGGGCGAUACUGCCCUUAAGAGAGCAAAAGCUGGUUCUUGGUGGCCAACUAAAAAAACUUUUAGGUAUAAAGCACAGAUAUAGUGUACAAUGGAUUUGCAGUUUACCUGUAGUAUUAAAUUUUCAUGAGCGGAUGGGGCAAUUAGGGGGAAAAAAAGUCUAAAAAGGCUCCUUACAGGGACAAUAAUCAAUGAAAACAAGGUUGAGUACCAGUGUUAGGACCUUUCGGCAAAGCGCAUGUUUGCUGAAAGCAAGCACUAUCUUACACAACCCCCAAGGUUUUCUCAGGGUGCAGAAGACAGCGUCGACACCUGACCUUUGUUUACCGAAAGCUUUUACUCAUUAUGUCAUAUGAUCCUUCCAAGAACCCCCUCAUGAAAUCACUAAGGAAGACAUUUACUCUCCACUUUUAACAGAUUAGGAAGUUGAACUUCAGAGAUAGUAACCACUACCUAGAUUUAGCACCAAAUAAAACUACCCUUUAAGAAUAAAUUUGUAAACAAAGCAAAACAGAGUUUGUUAUAAACAGACCUUCAGUAAGAGAACUCUAAAGUCUAAAAUGUACAAAAGAGAGAACGCAAAGUGGUUAACGUGUGAACAAACCUAUAUGAACAUCGAUAUAUAAACAACAGUUGUAAUGUCUACUUUAGGUGCUUCCAGACAUAUAAGACAAAAGUAAAACACUGAGCAACAGUGUCAUGUAAGUCAGCAGGGAGUGCUUAGAGCCCAAGCAUGCUCAAGUCGUUGAGUUGGUCAGAAGAGUAAAGAUAUUAACUUGAGAAAUCAAGCUAAAUAUGUAUGUUAAAUUUCCAGGUGAAAAAAAAAAUGGAAGACAUCAAGAAUUAACUGCCAAAUCAGAGGAAUGAAAAGUGGAAGGAGGCUGGGUACAGUGGCUCACGCCUGUAAUCCUAGCACUUUGGAAGGCUAAAUGCUUCAUGGAUGCCAAACUUUCCUAUAUAUCAUCUCAUCUGAACUAUACAACGGUCCUGAGGCAACAGAGCAUCAACAUCUCUGUGACAGCCAUUGGAUGCAGUUGCAAAUACCACACAGAUUCCUGAAUAACCCCAGCAUCAGAAAUUUGAAGUUGGAGAAAAGCAGAAAAAGGGAUACUUAGUACUUCUGGAAAAUACUUGGUAAGAAUCUAUAGCAUUUAUAUUACCUGAGAUGAAUGUUUUCAAAAGUUCGGUGGUAGUUUCCUUUUCCCUACCUGUGUCUCUGGCACUGAAAUCCUCCCUGAACUUGGAUCAGUGUCCUCUGCUAUCUGUAGUAACA